rnacentral:rRNA from 1 species
GAUGAACGCUGGCGGCGUGCUUAACACAUGCAAGUCGAGCGAAGCACUUAACUUUGAUUCUUUCGGGAUGAAGAGUUCUGUGGCUGAGCGGCGGACGGGUGAGUAACGCGUGGGUAACCUGCCUCAUACAGGGGGAUAACAGUUAGAAAUGGCUGCUAAUACCGCAUAAGACCACAGCACCGCAUGGUGCAGGGGUAAAAACUCCGGUGGUAUGAGAUGGACCCGCGUCUGAUUAGCUAGUUGGUGGGGUAACGGCCUACCAAGGCGACGAUCAGUAGCCGACCUGAGAGGGUGACCGGCCACAUUGGGACUGAGACACGGCCCAAACUCCUACGGGAGGCAGCAGUGGGGAAUAUUGCACAAUGGGGGAAACCCUGAUGCAGCGACGCCGCGUGAGCGAAGAAGUAUUUCGGUAUGUAAAGCUCUAUCAGCAGGGAAGAAAAUGACGGUACCUGACUAAGAAGCCCCGGCUAACUACGUGCCAGCAGCCGCGGUAAUACGUAGGGGGCAAGCGUUAUCCGGAUUUACUGGGUGUAAAGGGAGCGUAGACGGCGAGGCAAGUCUGAUGUGAAAACCCGGGGCUCAACCCCGUGACUGCAUUGGAAACUGUUUUGCUUGAGUGCCGGAGAGGUAAGCGGAAUUCCUAGUGUAGCGGUGAAAUGCGUAGAUAUUAGGAGGAACACCAGUGGCGAAGGCGGCUUAC